UGGGGGAUCGUCUAAUGGUAGGACAGCAGAUUCUGGUUCUGCUUAUCGGGGUUCGAGUCCCUGUCCCCCAGCCA
rnacentral:tRNA from 1 species